GACUGUUCUGUUGGCCUAUGUGGCUAGAGCAUUUGCCUUUGAUGCAAGAGGUCAUGGGUUCAAACCUCGGCCGAGUCA